rnacentral:rRNA from 1 species
UUUAUCAAUUAGUCUAAUGCCUAAUCUAGUCUCAUCUCAGAAGUUAAGCAGGGAUGGGCCUGGAUAGAGCUUGGAUGGGAGACCGUUGGGAAAAUGGCAAAUGCUAAAU